rnacentral:rRNA from 1 species
AUGAACGCUAGCUACAGGCUUAACACAUGCAAGUCGAGGGGCAGCAUGGUCUUAGCUUGCUAAGGCCGAUGGCGACCGGCGCACGGGUGAGUAACACGUAUCCAACCUGCCGUCUACUCUUGGACAGCCUUCUGAAAGGAAGAUUAAUACAAGAUGGCAUCAUGAGUCCGCAUGUUCACAUGAUUAAAGGUAUUCCGGUAGACGAUGGGGAUGCGUUCCAUUAGAUAGUAGGCGGGGUAACGGCCCACCUAGUCUUCGAUGGAUAGGGGUUCUGAGAGGAAGGUCCCCCACAUUGGAACUGAGACACGGUCCAAACUCCUACGGGAGGCAGCAGUGAGGAAUAUUGGUCAAUGGGCGAGAGCCUGAACCAGCCAAGUAGCGUGAAGGAUGACUGCCCUAUGGGUUGUAAACUUCUUUUAUAAAGGAAUAAAGUCGGGUAUGGAUACCCGUUUGCAUGUACUUUAUGAAUAAGGAUCGGCUAACUCCGUGCCAGCAGCCGCGGUAAUACGGAGGAUCCGAGCGUUAUCCGGAUUUAUUGGGUUUAAAGGGAGCGUAGAUGGAUGUUUAAGUCAGUUGUGAAAGUUUGCGGCUCAACCGUAAAAUUGCAGUUGAUACUGGAUAUCUUGAGUGCAGUUGAGGCAGGCGGAAUUCGUGGUGUAGCGGUGAAAUGCUUAGAUAUCACGAAGAACUCCGAUUGCGAAGGCAGCCUGCUAAGCUGCAACUGACAUUGAGGCUCGAAAGUGUGGGUAUCAAACAGGAUUAGAUACCCUGUUAGUCCACACGGUAAACGAAGAAUACUCGCUGUUUGCGAUAUACUGCAAGCGGCCAAGCGAAAGCGUUAAGUAUUCCACCUGGGGAGUACGCCGGCAACGGUGAAACUCAAAGGAAUUGACGGGGGCCCGCACAAGCGGAGGAACAUGUGGUUUAAUUCGAUGAUACGCGAGGAACCUUACCCGGGCUUAAAUUGCAGAUGAAUUACGGUGAAAGCCGUAAGCCGCAAGGCAUCUGUGAAGGUGCUGCAUGGUUGUCGUCAGCUCGUGCCGUGAGGUGUCGGCUUAAGUGCCAUAACGAGCGCAACCCUUGUUGUCAGUUACUAACAGGUUCCGCUGAGGACUCUGACAAGACUGCCAUCGUAAGAUGUGAGGAAGGUGGGGAUGACGUCAAAUCAGCACGGCCCUUACGUCCGGGGCUACACACGUGUUACAAUGGGGGGUACAGAGGGCCGCUACCACGCGAGUGGAUGCCAAUCCCCAAAACCUCUCUCAGUUCGGACUGGAGUCUGCAACCCGACUCCACGAAGCUGGAUUCGCUAGUAAUCGCGCAUCAGCCACGGCGCGGUGAAUACGUUCCCGGGCCUUGUACACACCGCCCGUCAAGCCAUGGGAGCCGGGGGUACCUGAAGUGCGUAACCGCGAGGAGCGCCCUAGGGUAAAACUGGUGACUGGGGCU